AGAGUUUGAUCCUGGCUCAGGAUAAACGCUGGCGGCGUGCCUAACACAUGCAAGUCGAACGCCCUAGAUCACCUAGGGAGUGGCGGACGGGUGAGGAACACGUGGGUCAUCUACCUUGAGGUGAGGAAUACCGGCGAGAAAUCGCCGACAAUACCGCAUGGGUUUGCCAAACAAACAAAGCCUCGGCAACGAGGUGCCUC
rnacentral:rRNA from 1 species